UUUAUUGAUUAAUUUAUUUUUGUUGUUGUGGUUAUUGUUGUUUAAUGAAGUAUUAUUAUGUUGUUGUAUUUAUUUUGAUUUAAUUCUUUAUAUUAUAGUUUAUUUGUACUGUGAAGGGGAAUAUUUUAUUUUUGUAAGUUGAUUUUAUUUGUUGUACCUUGUGUAUCAGGGUUUACUAAUUUUUAUUAUUUAUUUUUUAUUUCCCGGUUUUGGAGGAGUUAUAUAUUUAUUCUAGUUGCUGUUUCAUUAGCAUUGGAAAUAUUUAUUUGGUGGUGAGAUGUCAAUCGUUUCUGAGGAUAUCUGGUUUCUCGAGAAAUGAAUUUAAUUCAUGCCUUUUGUUUAAUUUUCAUUUUUGUUAUGUUUGAUUUUACAAAUGGCUAAGGUGUUGGGGGAUAAACUCUGAUUCUUUUUUAUAAUUUUUAUUAUGAGUACUUUUGUGGGCUUUAUGUUGGCUAACUAUAUGAGUAUUUAAAAAUUUUAUUUCGGUUUAUUUAUGAUUUUUUUGGUUUUAAAGUUUUAUUGGGAUGUUUAAUUUAAUUUUUUAUUUAUUGUAUUUUUGGUUGAAUUAGUAUAUUUUUAUUUAUGGUGUUUUUUGGGUGAUAUGUUUUUUAGAGGAACUAGGCAAGUUUUAUGUUCGCCUGUUUAACAAAAACAUCUCUUCUUGUAUUUUGAUUUGAAGUACGGCCUGCCCACUGAUGUUAUUGAAGGGCCGCGGUAUUUUGACCGUGCAAAGGUAGCAUAAUCAUUAGUUUUUUAAUUGUGAACUGGUAUGAAUGGUUUGACGAGGCAUAAUCUGUCUUUAAUUUGGAUUAUUAUUGAAUUUAUUUUUUGGGUAAAAAUGCUCAAAUUUUAUUAUGGGACGAGAAGACCCUAUAGAGUUUUAUAUAGUACACUUAUGAAUAUUUGUUUUGUUGUGUUGGAGUGUAACUAAUAUUUUGUUGGGGUGAUGGGAAGAUAUAUUUAACUCUUCUUUUUUCUUUUCACUUAUUUGUGUUUUUAUGAUCCUUUAUUAUUGAUUAUAAGAUCAAAUUACCUUAGGGAUAACAGCGUAAUCUUUUUUGAGAGUUCUUAUUGACAAAAGGGUUUGCGACCUCGAUGUUGGAUUAGGAUGAAUUUUUGGUGUAGAGGCUUUAAAAUUGUUUUGUAUUAGGUCUGUUCGACCUUUAAAAUCUUACAUGAUCUGAGUUCAAACCGGCGUGAGCCAGGUUGGUUUCUAUCUAUAAUUUUCUUUUAUUUCUUAGUACGAGAGGACCAGAUAUUUGGAAUAAUUUUCUUUUUUUGAUUGUCAUUAAUUU
rnacentral:rRNA from 1 species